GGAUGUGAGGGCAACCUGGAUGCUGCAUUUGUCACCAUGUUGAUCACCAGGGUCAAUUCAUCUGAUCUGACUGACUAAGCAGUGUCCUUUUCCUCCCUCAUCAUUUUUUUGAGUCCUCGCCAAAGCUGGACACUCAGUAGAAGAGGAUGACCACCCUAGAUAGAGAAGGAUCCUUUCAUAAUUCAAGGGUAUAAGAGUAGUUAUGGUCAACCAGUAAAAUUAAUUGCAUAGGUAAACUUGAUGAAAUUGGGAACAAAUGGGGAAAUAAGUCAU
rfam:Cavia porcellus supercont2_0 genomic scaffold, whole genome shotgun sequence.